rnacentral:rRNA from 1 species
GAUGAACGCUGGCGGCGUGCUUAACACAUGCAAGUCGAACGGAAAGGCCCAAGCUUGCUUGGGUACUCGAGUGGCGAACGGGUGAGUAACACGUGGGUGAUCUGCCCUGCACUUCGGGAUAAGCCUGGGAAACUGGGUCUAAUACCGGAUAGGACGAUGGUUUGGAUGCCAUUGUGGAAAGUUUUUUCGGUGUGGGAUGAGCUCGCGGCCUAUCAGCUUGUUGGUGGGGUAAUGGCCUACCAAGGCGUCGACGGGUAGCCGGCCUGAGAGGGUGUACGGCCACAUUGGGACUGAGAUACGGCCCAGACUCUUACGGGAGGCAGCAGUGGGGAAUAUUGCACAAUGGGCGCAAGCCUGAUGCAGCGACGCCGCGUGGGGGAUGACGGCCUUCGGGUUGUAAACUCCUUUCGCUAGGGACGAAGCGUUUUGUGACGGUACCUGGAGAAGAAGCACCGGCUAACUACGUG